GAUGCUUAUUUUCCUGUAAAUAAGCAGUGAGUUGUGGACAGGGCUUUUGACUCUCCCUGGCUCUAAUGGCUGCCUUAAACCAAAGGACUAGAAGUCAAGCAGACUGGCAGCUACCUAGCACCAGCCAUCUGGGAACACAGCAGGGACACCUUAGAAAAUGACAGGGUGAUCACAGCCAAUUGUCCUUGCUCCCAAAGGCACAGCCCAGUCCUUGCUGUUUCAAACAGCUCUUCCCAACAUCUCAGUGCAAGCCAAAGAGCUUUCUAAGUAACCCUGCAACUAUUUCCACCUUGGCCAGGAGGAGGGCUCUGUCCUUGGAGGUCUAGCAGAGGGGCUGCUUCGACUAGCCUAAGAGUCAGGCUGUGAUUGGCCCAAACAAGCAGCUGUGAUUAGCCCAAACAUCCUUCUUAGGCUUUAUACGUUCAUUCACUGAAUUGGCGGGGAGAUGCACUGCUUCCCCUAAAGAUCUCAUAAAGGCUUCUUCUCCCAGGGAUCUCCCCUUGCCUUUUGCAGUGAGAGCCGAGAUGGUGGUAACACGAAGAAGCAAAAGAGAGAGCAGAGAGCAGUGGCUACGGCGGAGGUGCAGGCGGCAGGCAGCUAGGCAGUCAUCAGGCCAAGAUGAAAAAACAAGGCACUGCCUGCUUGACAGCUUAAGGAGAAGCUGCUGAACCAAAGAGGGGGAAGGGCAGCGCCAGGAGAGACCAGAGCGGGGUUGGCUGAUAGAAGAUAGAGGAGCCCAGUGUGGGAGCCCAAGUCUGUAAUCCUGGAACUUGGCAGAUGGAGACAGGAAGCUCAGGAGUUCAAAUUCAUCCUCAGCUACAACACAACUUCAAGACCAGCCCGGAUUAUGUAAGUCCAAGCCUCAAAAAAUAAAAUAAAAUAAAAGAUUUAAAGAUCCGGAAAACAGAAACUGCAGGCCCUGGUUAACAGAAGUGUUCCAAAGAUCUGUCAAGUCUUAAGGACCCAGGGUCUCAGACCUCAGAAGGAGCGCUGUUAAUUUUGGCUGCCAAGGACGUACAUUCCAGGCACCCGAGGCCUGAACCAGACUGGAACACUAGAGGGCGCCAUGCUCUGCUGAUUCGCCUGCCUACCGCCUGCUGCUUAGACGCCCUGAGAACAGAGUAGUACUUGAGGACUUUUCUCCUCGAAGACUGUCGCCUGUGCUCUCUAUGUGGGUAGGGCAAAAGAGCCCUCAGCCCGCUGAGUGACAGCAGGAGUCAAAGACUUCUUUCCUAACUGCACUGUCUGGCCCUUGGCCCUGCACAGGUCUGCCAGUGGUCCUUGGGGCCUAGAGAGAUGACGGAAAGUCCAGGGUCUCCACAAGCUGUGUUGCUGUUCACCUCCAUUAAUGGCAUGCACGAGGGUGUGCAUGGCGACUUCAUUCGGAGCAUCCGGAAAGGAAAUGCCUGUGCUGGUCAGUUUUCCCAUCAACUUGACUUGUAUCUGGGAAGAGGGGAAUAAACUGCCUCCGUCAGACUGGCCUGUGGACGUUCUCUUGAUUGAUGAUUGGUGUGGGAGCGUCAAGCUCACGAUGGCAGAUGCCAUGACUAGUCGGGUGGACCGGGGCUGUAUAAGAACCCUGGAAGGAAGCCAGUAAGCAGCGCUUCUCCUGCUGUCUGCUUGAAUCCCCACCUCCAAGUUGCUGGCUCUACCUGAGUUCCUGCCCUGGCUUCGCUUCCCUCAGUGAAGGGCUGUGUGAAGGAGACCCCCAAACAGUAGGGGCUUCCUCCCAGACCCUGGACGAGGCACAAGCCACACCCAAACACUUGUCUUCACAGAGAGACCCUUUAUUAAGUCAGGAAGAAAAGUUGAAGUGGCCGCUUUCUGACUCAGGCUGAAAACUGCAGCAAAUGGCCUUGCAGCAAUAGAAGGCAAACUAGGACGCCUCAGGCUUGCGCCAACUGGAGCACAGACUGCGCGUGAUCUUUUCUAAAGGAAGGAAGACAGCUGGGCAAAGAAAUGUCCUAGAGCCAUGAGGCCCCGGCAUCCCUUUACUCUGUCACCAGGGCACUGCAGCCGGGAGCUCUAGCAGCUGCUUAUCUGGUAAACUAGAGGAAACUGUGAAAGCGCUCCAGGUAAAUGAUACUGUGGAGUCCUCAUGCCUCAUCCGUGAGCAUCCCCGGGCCAUAGGCUGCAUCUGCCUGGUCACAUAGAUGAAUGUGUGAUGGCUAACCAUCUUUGUCAAUUUAACUAGGUUUACAAUCAGCCAGAAGAAAAACACAUCUCAUGUGUCUGUAAAGGCCUUCCAGGGAGUAUUAAGUGAGGGAGAAAGACCCACUCUAAAUGUGGAUGGACCAUCCCAAGGCUCAGGUCCCGGAUAUAAUAAAAUGUGGAAAGAAAAAAGAGCCAGGUGAUCUAUUGAGCCUUGGACAGCAGAUCAGUACCCAUCCCAAGUAUACACAUGGACUUUGGACUCCCAUAGAACAAUGU